rnacentral:rRNA from 1 species
GUGGGGAAUCUUGCGCAAUGGGCGAAAGCCUGACGCAGCCAUGCCGCGUGAAUGAUGAAGGUCUUAGGAUUGUAAAAUUCUUUCACCGGGGACGAUAAUGACGGUACCCGGAGAAGAAGCCCCGGCUAACUUCGUGCCAGCAGCCGCGGUAAUACGAAGGGGACUAGCGUUGCUCGGAAUUACUGGGCGUAAAGGGCGCGUAGGCGGAUCGUUAAGUCAGGGGUGAAAUCCCAGAGCUCAACUCUGGAACUGCCCUUGAUACUGGCGAUCUUGAGUGUGAGAGAGGUAUGUGGAACUCCGAGUGUAGAGGUGAAAUUCGUAGAUAUUCGGAAGAACACCAGUGGCGAAGGCGACAUACUGGCUCAUUACUGACGCUGAGGCGCGAAAGCGUGGGGAGCAAACAGGAUUAGAUACCCUAGUAGUCC